GAGACAGAGACAGAAAUGAGGAGGGAGAAACAGCAGGUGGCCUGUCCAGACCAUGACAAGAACAAUAUAGAUACCUGCUAUCACACUCACAGACUUUCAGCUUCCUUUAUCAGAUUUUAAACUCAGGGAUUCUGUGAUUCUUGAAAAAUACCACCAUCUUUUGGACAUUUAUCGCACUUUAAAUGAAGAAGCAAUGUCUGCUGUGACAUCGGCGUCUCUCUGCCUGACUUUACUGUCUGUCUGCCUCUUGUUUGUCUCUGCAGACCAGAAAAUCAUCAUAGCUGUGCCGGGACAGACGGUCACUCUGCCAUGUCGAGCUCCAAACAGCGGCAACCCCAUCAUAGCUGCAGAGUGGAGCAGAGCUGACCUGGAGCAAGAAUAUGUCCUUUUUCACCGGGACGAUAAGCUUGAAACAGAAGAGCAGCAUCCAUCUUUUAAAAACCGGGUGGAUCUGCAGGACAGACAGAUGAAGGAUGGAGACGUGUCUCUGAUUCUGAAGGAUGUGAAGACUGAUGACUCGGGAGCGUACGAGUGUUACGUGGUCCAGAGAGGAGCGAACCGCAGGAAGAGAGCCAGUCUGGAUAGUGACCCCAUCAGCACCACCUACCUGACUGUUGUUCCUCCAAGCCAGAAAAACAUCACAGCUGAGUUUGGACAAAACGUCACUCUGACAUGUCGAGCUCCAAACACUGUCCUCAUACCAGGUGUGGAGUGGAGCAGACGUGACUUGAAGGCACAAUAUGUGCUUUGGUACUGGGAAAAACAAUUUGUUCCAUAUUAUCAGCAUCCAUCUUUUAAGAACCGGGUGGAUCUGCAGGACAGACAGAUAAAGGAUGGAGACGUGUCUCUGAUUCUGAAAAAUGUGACGAAUGCUGAUGGUGGAACAUAUGAGUGUUGUGUCGUCCAGGAAGUAAGAGAAGGUAGAAAGUUGGCCAUUUUAAAGACUGAGCCCAUCAGCAUCAUCCACCUAAAGGUUAUUUCACCAGGUCAGACAGGAGGACACGGAGAGGAUGGCGCUGUUGGACUAACAGUUGUUAUUGUGCUUUCUAUAGUUCUUUUCGCAACUAUAAUAUACUACAUAAAAAUGACAGAAAAUACAGAAGGAGAAAAAAACAGCACUUCUCAGACAAGCAGCAAGCUGAAACGCUCCAAUCGUGUCACUCGUCCCACCUUUCGUAGCAAAAAGACAGAAGCUCUGAAGACAGAUAUCACAAAACCAUGAACAGAAUAAACCUGUGAUAAGAGCAUGGAUGAUGGGGCAAAGACGGCACUUUUCAGUUGCAGUACAAAAAACAAACAAACAAAGAAAAAGAAAGAAAAUUAAAAUGAAAAAAAAAAACACCACCAAUGAUAAAAUCUAAUCUGAUUACCUUUGUUACCUUUCUGGCACUUAGGCAGUUAGACAUUCUUUAGAUUCCUACAGUUUAUAAUCUUGAGAUCAAGGUUUAAAGCAGAAAAAAAUAUAAUGCAAAUAUUUCCAUCACAGUCGGAUUAGAAUCUGUUCACUGUAAAAAAAAAAAAAAAUGUAAGUAUUUGGGGAGGUGAACCUGAACCGCUCAUACUAGGUCAGUUCUGAUAGAUCAGAGACUUACUGG
ensembl:lncRNA